rnacentral:rRNA from 15 species
UUGACCUCGGAUCAGGUAGGGAUACCCGCUGAACUUAAGCAUAUCAAUAG